UGGGGAAUUUUGGACAAUGGGGGCAACCCUGAUCCAGCCAUGCCGCGUGUGUGAAGAAGGCCUUCGGGUUGUAAAGCACUUUCGGACGGAACGAAAUCGCGCGGCCUAACAAUCCGCGUGGAUGACGGUACCGUAAGAAGAAGCACCGGCUAACUACGUGCCAGCAGCCGCGGUAAUACGUAGGGUGCGAGCGUUAAUCGGAAUUACUGGGCGUAAAGCGUGCGCAGGCGGUUUCGCAAGUCAGACGUGAAAGCCCCGGGCUUAACUUGGGAAUGGCGUUUGAAACUACGAAGCUGGAGUGUGACAGAGGGAGAUGGAAUUCCACGUGUAGCGGUGAAAUGCGUAGAGAUGUGGAGGAACACCGAUGGCGAAGGCAGUCUCCUGGGUCAACACUGACGCUCAUGCACGAAAGCGUGGGGAGCAAACAGG
rnacentral:rRNA from 1 species